CCCUGAUGAAGCUGUUUGCUGCGGGAGACACUACAAUUUCAACUGCUGCUCGUUUCCCAUCACCCAUAAAACUUGGGGAUGCUUCCUCGGGCACCCACGGGAUGCUGGCAACGGCCCAGGAGUGCUUUGCUGCCGUUGCUGCAAAGGACAGUGGGCAUUUCCACUUGGCGUUAACCUAACCCUCUCUCCAAGGCACUGUCCCCAACAGUGAAGCCAGAUGCUUCCAAGACCAGCCAGGGAUCCCGCUGUGGUCGGGCUCCGCCUUCCUUCGCUCUCUGGCAGCACGGAUGGAGCCAGCACCCUCUCUGAGGACCUCAGAGGACACUCAGAGCGAAGAUGUUCCAGGAGCUCAGACCUGAGCCCCUGUGUGUGUGCUGACGCCCAGACCUGGAGGAACGGCGUUCCCAGCAGAGGGAACAGCAAGGACAAAGCCCGAGAAGCAGGGAAAUGUUUGCUGUUUCCUAUGAAAUAAAAGACAGAUGAAAAAAAAUUGGAUGAGCUCCACUGUGGAGCCAGUACGUCUGGGGCCACCCCGGAACUCCCUGCCGUCUUUGGAGACGUCCUUCCAAACCUGCCCACAGAGGUGUGACGGUGUAGGCGGCAUCUGUGCCUCUGUCGCUGACAGUUUCGUGGGACUCCUGGAUGCGUAAGGCUUGCGCAGGAAUGCUGUCCACAUUUUUGGAAUUUUUCCCACGGAGGAUUGAACUAGCCAGCCUUUGCACUGGGAGGUCGCACACUGGUGUGUGAGGACCCUGCGUGAGGAGGAGAGCGACGGGGCGGCUGGGUGUCCCCUUUCCCUGUCCCUGCGGUACCUUUUCAGUCCCAGACACUGUACUGGACUCUGGGACGCGUCAUCCCUUGACCUUCCUCUUUGACUUGCACCGAAAGGCUGUGCUGCUGUGUGACUUGCAACAUGUUUCGGCACCGUCUCUCCCAACUCCACUGUGAAAACUUUCAAGACACACCCACAGACACACAGACACACACACAGCUCUUACCCUUUAAGAAGCAGUUUCACACUGGCCAGCACCUGGCCUUCCGAGUUUGCCAUCGGCAGAAGAACAUUUGGCAAUUUGGUGGAGUAAAGCCUCUGUGACUUUCUAGGCUCUUAAUAUCAUCCUCUUAAAACAGCAGCGCAAAUCUGAGGUCCCAGAACCCUGGGAAGAGAAGAGUUAAAGGAACUUGACGAAAGCUCAAAACAACUGUUUUCCUUGAGAAUGGGGGCUAAGACCCUUUGGGGUUUGGGGGCGAGGUGUGGGAUCUUCAGUAUCAAAGACUCUUCCUAUCACAACAUCAGUGUGUAAUUGAAGUGAAAUAAUAAAGACGUGUGGGAAUGCA
rnacentral:lncRNA from 1 species